AUGGUCGAUGAAGCGCUUCGUUCCUAUCUGGACCAUAUUCACGCAAUCGAUUCUUUCACUGUUCUCCAAGCGUCUUAUCAAGAUCUGCGGGAGAAUGAGGGAGGAUCCGUUUUCUUUCGAAAUGCUGUUUCCCACAACUGGGAUCUCCUUGAGGCGGAAAGCUCCGCAAGGAGGUGCCUGGAAGUGGAACAGAGUAUCCGGUGGGAAGAAAUCCCCAAGAGCAAGGCAAGUCUCAAAAGAGUUGAGCAUGAGCAUGCUCUCGACUUGUUUAAGUCGGAGGAUCUUAGAAGGGAAUUAGAAACAAAAGAGCGGGGAGGGGGAGACCCAAUAUUAUACCAGCAUCUCUUUUGGUUCUUCGGUCAUCCAGAGGUGUAUAUUCUCAUUCUGCCUAGAUUUGGUAUUAUUAGUCAUAUCGUAUCGACCUUUUCAAGAAAACCGGUCUUCGGGUAUUUAGGCAUGGUUUAUGCCAUGAUAAGUAUAGGUGUUCUUGGAUUUCUAGUUUGGGCUCAUCAUAUGUUUACUAUGGGCUUAGACGUUGAUACGCGUGCCUACUUCACCGCAGCUACCAUGAUCAUAGCUGUGCCCACAGGAAUCAAAAUCUUUAGUUGGAUCGCUACCAUGUGGGGAGGUUCGAUACAAUACAAAACACCCAUGUUAUUUGCUGUAGGGUUCAUCUUUUUGUUCACCAUAGGAGGGUCCACUGGAAUAGUUCUAGCAAACUCUGGGCUAGACAUUGCUCUACAUGAUACUUAUUAUGUGGUUGCACAUUUCCAUUAUGUACUUUCUAUGGGAGCCAUUUUUGCUUUAUUUGCUGGAUUUUACUAUUGGGUGGGUAAAAUCUUUGGUCGGACAUAUCCUGAAACUUUAUGCCAAAUCCAUUUUUGGAUCACUUUUUUCGGGGUUAAUAUGACCUUCUUUCCCAUGCAUUUCUUAGGGCUUUCGGGUAUGCCAUGUCGCAUUCCAGAUUAUCCAGAUUCUUACGCCGGAUGGAAUGCUCUGAGCAGUUUCGUUUCUUAUAUAUCCGCAGUUGGGAUUCGUCGUUUCUUCGUAGUUGUCGCAAUCACUUCAAGCAGUGGAAAGAACCAAAAAUAUGCGGAAAGUCCUUUGGCUGUUGAACAGAAUCCAACCACACUAGAAUGGUUGGUACAAAGCCCUCUGGCCUUUCAUACUUUUGGAGAGCUUCCUGCGGUAAAAGAGACAAAAAGCUAG
rnacentral:rRNA from 1 species